AGCUGUUGAAUCAGCACGCUGAAGAAGUACAGAGACUGGUGAACAAGCUGAUAAACUCAGACAGCAGCAAAAACUUCAAGAUCUAAAAUAGGCCCGGGCUUUUUUUUAAGUUACUGACAUGACGCUGGUCCUCACUUUUUGGAGUCUACUCCCUCAUUUCCAGGCUGAACAGGAAGCUGUACAACAACCGGUCUGACAAGUUACAAGUGGUGGACCUACAUCAUCUAGAUGUACAGGU